UGGGCUGGGAGGAGAAUAAACACCAUUAAUUAACAGAUUUAUAAAUUAGAGGAGGAGGAGGAGGCGGCAAACGAGGAGCGAGUUUGGGCCUUUCUCGUUUCUCUGGGAAACUUCUCAAACUCUUAAUUAGCUCACCAAAUCCUCUCUGUCUUCUUCUAAAAAUAAACCUCUCACCCACCAAACACAUAUUUCAUUAAAUAGAAAACCACGGCGGGGAAGUGAGAAUUUGGGCAUCGUGUGGAGCUCCCAAAUACCCACCCAGGGUGGCACAACCUGCCCACAGUGCCAAGGUGGGCACCCCAACCCGCUCUGGCAGAUUUUGGGGAUCCAUCCCCACUCCCUGGUGGAAUUCCAUCCCCGCUGACAUCUGAAUAAUGCAAAUUUCGGCGGCAUGACAAGCUCAUUAUGGAGCAUAAUUGCGAUGCAAUCUCCUGGUAAACACUGGGUUAAACCCCCUGGAAGAUGCUUGUUCCUCUUCGUUAUUAAUUAGCACGUGUCCACUCCGCCAGAUCCGGAGCCCAAACUUCAUUUGUUAUGUUCAGCCAAAUGCAUGAGUAGCUUUGGAGUAAUUAUUUUCCAACAUCAUCUAAUACCUCUCUGCACAUCAAUUAAAAAUCCUCUUAACAAGGAACUGCAUUUUGUUUGAGAUCAAAUGCCUCGUCCAAAGCUGUAUCAAUCAUGUAGAGCUAAUUAGUGGGUCUGCUUUAUAUCAUUUGUUUUACUUUAUUAUUCUAUUAUACACUUCCUAAUGAAACCAAUUGAACGAUUUUGAAAUCUUUGUUCAAUUAAUUGAAGGCUUAAAGGCCAGCUUGCAUUUUUUUGGCUUUAAUAAGCACGGAUGCGAAGGGAAAUAUAUCUAUUUCUUUUAGGUUUUAUAUUUAUUUUUUCUGGAAUUAACCGAGGAGGGUUGGAGCUUUCCAGAAUUCCCGGGAAGUUCAGCGUGGCUCCGUCGGGAGAGGAGCAGGAAUUCUGUGCAGCCACCGUGAAUGUUUCUCAGCUAAAUCAAACUGACAAAUCAGCAGAUGCUGAGGAGCUCACAGCAAAUGGACUGCGUUUCUUUUUUCAUAUGGAGAAGGAGGGUAAAAAUAAGAAUGACUUUCACAUGCCAUCAGAUUGCUUGGGAGAAAUCAAAGGAUAUUAUAGAAGCAGCGGAGCGGAGGGAAUUCGGAUUUAGAGCUGUCAAAAUCUUGUAAUAUAAAAAUCUGUUCCUCUGUUGGUUACCAGCCGUGUUUAAAGGGUCAGUGAGAGGGACUGGGAGCAAUCCUUGAUGCUCAUGUUGGAUGUUUUUUGUGCACACAGGUCCAGAUGUUCCAGAUGUGCUGCCAGAAAAACAUCCUGAGUGCCCCACAGCCACCGAUGCCCACACCAGGAGUUGUAGGGGACACAGGAUCCUCACUGCUCCAGGGGACAUCUGAGCUCCUCCUGCUCCUGAGAGGAACCUGGCAGAGAUUAACACCAGGGAGAGGUCCCAGCUCCGGGGGUGUCGGAAUCUGAGCUGGGAUGUGCCUGAGCUCUACGGCCUCCACGAGGUGCUGGAGUGGGAUCUGCGAAGGACACGAUGGAGCAGCUUGGGGGCAGAUUACUCAAUGUAAAUCCCAUUAAGGCUCCUCCGAGCUGUGGCACACAUCUGACAGGGAUCUCCAGCAGCCUGAAGGGAUCUCAGCUCCCCGGGAAGCUGCAGGGAAACUUAAUCGGGAAUUACACCCUCUAAAUACCCGCCGAGGAGAGAGUGAGUGGACUUUUCAAACCCAAAGCCGUUAAUCUGCUUAGGUAAUGAGGGGGAAAGCAGCCGAGAUGGUGCUUAUCCCGUUCUCCACUUCGUCACCGUCCCAGAUAUUUGUUACACACCCCAAAAAAGGAAAAUCAGCCCCCACAACCAGCAGAGAAACCUUUUCCUCAUCCUUUUCCCUUAAUGAAUUCCACACGGAGCUCAGGAGGGAGGAGAGCUCAGCACAGGGCAGCAGAUCCCAGGGGAGCUCAGGGCUCCUGGAACUCUGGAAUUCCAAGGCUGGAAUGCCAGAGGAAAGGGCCCAAAUGGCAGCAGAGAUCACUGCAAUCGUUAACAAAUCAUUUCAUGAUUAAGAGAGAGUUAUUAAGGUCAGACAGCUGCACACAAAUUCAUCUUCCAAUGAUGGGGAAUCCCCAGGUGGAUGGUGAGGAAAAGGCAAAAAAAAAGGCAAGGCAAACUUCAGCUGGGCUUUGCUGGGAAAGGACACAGCUCCAAGCGCUGAUUCCUUUUUUUUGGGAAUAUUCCAGAGCCUGUUUCCCAGGGAAACAGUCUGGGUUGUGUCUGGGCUGAGCAAACACGGCUCUGAGGAAUCAGGGCCUGACAGGAAUGUCACACAUGUGGCACACAUGUGGGACACACGUGUGGUAUGCACGCCACGGGGCUGAAGGACUCAGAGGAGUUCAUGGUUUGGGUUUCCAUCGCAAUUUUGCCUAAUUAGUCUCCAAUAAUUAAUGCUGCGAGCACAGCGGAGAUGGAAUCAGACAAAAUGCCGGUGAGGAAGCCCCAUGGAAGCCAUCCGUCUUUGGGUAGUAAUGAUUAUGUUCUUUUUUAUUAUUAAAGAUCCCAUUAGAAAGAAUUUAUGAUUUUUCCCCUUUGCGAGGGAAACAAUCAACAUUCCGUUGGCUGCUCCGGGUUUUGGUGCGGGAUCCGUAAUUAGGCACAGUUAAAAAGAGAUUUUGCCUGAAUGGCUUUUGGGGGAACAUUACAUCCAAAUUACAGGGAAAAUACGCUCCCAAUAAAUAACUCCAAUCCACUCGGCCUGCACAAACAUUGGAUCCAGGAGAAGUUCCAUUGAAGGUGGGAUUCAGCUUUCAUUUGCAGGAAGGAUGUAGUGAGGAACCUUUUCCAUCCUCACUCAAAUAAAAUUGUUGAUUUGCAUCCACCUUUGGAAUCAAAAUCAAACAUUUGCCCUGGCUUGGCCCCCGUUUAAUUAAAAUGAUGAGAACGGGCGAUAGGCUUUUGGUCUGAGGCAAAAAGGAUGCACAGCCCUGAAAUUUGGAACAAACAUUAAAAAAAUGGUGAAAGGCAUGGUUGGAAGCGAUAAGAAAUGCCAAGACUAUGUAUUACAUGGGAUCACGGGAUGAAAAUAGAAAAUAUCCUGAAAAAAAUCCUGCUGUAGGAAGGGCUGGAUUGGAUUAGCAGCUUUAUGGAUAAUGUCUGCCCAAGCUCAUCCCCCAGCUGAGGGGCCAGACAGGGAAAAAAUGGGAAUUUUCCCUCAAAUACGGGCUGGAAGAACAAAUUUGCAUUUGUGAGCACAGAUUCAUUUCUUUAAUUGGGAGUUUAAUGCAUUUAAGGAUAACAAAUGCUCGUUCCAUUUCAGGACCGAGGGUUCCCUCCCUGCCAUUCCCACCCCUCUGGCUCCAGGGAUUUAUUUCAGGUAAAUUGAGGGGUUUUUAAACUUUCUUUUAAAACUGUCAUUUCAAACAGCUGUUCAAAGAGCCGAUUGAAAUCAAAGUUUUUUUUCCCCAAGACCAAAUCACCGCUCGAACAGCUGAGCUAUUUUUAGCCCCAAAGCUCUGCACUUUGAAGCUGCAGUAAAAUAAAGAACAAAGGACCCAGUUUCAGAGUCUGGGCUCUGCUGCCCUUACAGGACCAUUUUCAGAGCAGCUCCACGGGGGGAAAUUCCUCUCGGGAAGAGGUUUUCUCCACAGCCCAUCCCCUUUCCUACAGCGCCACGAGAGAGGGUUUUAUUUUCAUUUCUGAACGCUUUGAUGUCCGGGGACUUGGCUCUUGUACAGCCCCAAAUUCCAGCAGGAGGGAAGGGUUCCCAGGAUUUGUAACUUGAUUUCACGGUGUGCGUUCCUCUCACGGGGAACCGCUGAUUUCCCAUGGGAUUUUCUCCUGUUUUUGGGUUUGCUGCUGUCCCAGGAGUCACACCCUGUGUGUGGGAAGGACUGCUGGAUUCCCUACAAACCCAACUCCCAAUUUCCUAAUUAUCCGUCUUUUAUUCCAAACUCAAACAAUGAAAUGCUCCUGCGUUUUGUCA